rnacentral:rRNA from 1 species
CCUACGGGAGGCAGCAGUAGGGAAUCUUUCACAAUGGGCGAAAGCCUGAUGGAGCAACGCCGCGUGCAGGAUGAAGGCCUUCUGGUUGUAAACUGCUUUUAUUAGCGAGACAUAUGAUGGUAACUUAUGAAUAAGGAUCGGCUAACUACGAGCCAGCAGCCGCGGGCAUACGUAGGAUCGGAGCAUUAUCCGGAGUGACUGGGUGUAAAGAGUUGCGUAGAUGGCCUAAUAAGUAGCUAGUGAAAACUGGUGGCUCAACCAUUCAGACUAUUAGCUAAACUGGUAAGCUUGAGACCGUUAGGGGUAACGGGAAUUGCUAGUGUAGGAGUGAAAUCCGUAGAUAUUA